GAUGAACGCUAACAGAAUGCUUAACACAUGCCAGUCAUUGGCGAAGCUGCGCUUGCGCAGUCUAGCCAAGGCGGACGGGUGAGUAACGCGUAAGGAACUUGCCCUGCAGACAGGGAUAACAGACGGAAACGACUGAUAACACCUGGUAUUGUCAGGCUGGCGCAUGCCGGCCUGAUGAAAGGAGACGCUGCAGGAGAGCCUUGCGCCCUAUUAGCUAGUUGGUGGGGUAACGGCCCACCAAGGCGAUGAUAGGUAGCCGGCCUGAGAGGGUGAACGGCCACAAGGGGACUGAGAUACGGCCCUUACUCCUACGGGAGGCAGCAGUGGGGAAUAUUGGACAAUGGGGGCAACCCUGAUCCAGCAAUUCUGUGUGCACGAAGAAGGUUUUCGGAUUGUAAAGUGCUUUCAGCAGGGAAGAAGAAAGUGACGGUACCUGCAGAAGAAGCGACGGCUAAAUACGUG
rnacentral:rRNA from 1 species